GGGGAUGUAGCUCAAUGGUAGACCAUUUGCUUGGUAUGCUGAAGGUCCUGGGUUCAAAAUUCUCAGCAUUCUAA
rnacentral:tRNA from 1 species